AUUGAACGCUGGCGGCAGGCCUAACACAUGCAAGUCGAACGAGUGGCGGACGGGUGAGUAAUGUCUGGGAACCUUCCUGAUGGAGGGGUAUAACUACUGGAAACGGUAGCUACUACCGCAUACAAUCGGAUGUGCCCAGAUGGGAUUGGCUGGUUGGUGGGGUAACGGCUCACCAAGGCGACGAUCCCUAGCUGGUCUGAGAGGAUGACCAGCCAAACUGGGACGGAGACACGGUCCAGACUCCUACGGGAGGCAGCAGUGGGGAAUUUUGCACAAUGGGGGAAAGCCUGAUGCAGCCAUCCCGCGUGUGUGAAGAAGGCCUUCGGGUUGUAAAGUACUUUCAGCGGGAAGGCGUUACCCGCAGAAGAAGCACCGGCUAACUACGUGCCAGCAGCCGCGGUAAUAC
rnacentral:rRNA from 1 species